GGAGGCCAUCCGAAACACACCGCGCUCUCAACCACGCGCGCAGUGUCCUGUUCCCGCUUCCCUGCCAACCAGUUACACUUGGGUGACACACGCAGUCGCCACUGUCUGUGCGUUUCCCAAGAAUGUUAGAAUCCUACGUCAAUGCCCUAGUGAAGUCCAUCGACAUCACACUCACACCAGCCUGGACCAUCACAGUAACCUCAGCCUGGACCGUUGACAGCAUAAUCAUCUGAGCCUCUAGACCACUGACAUCACUCUCAACUCAAGCUCAACGGUCGACGUCAUGAUCAACACUUCCUGGACUGGACCAUCAACAUCUGAUUUCAGUGGACAGCUUGGUGCAUGUCUUUCCCAGACUGUGUGAAGUCUGUUGAGAUCGAGUGGCUCUUGGCUACCAUGGGUGCUGCUUGAGCAUAGAUUGCAGACAGGCUGGCCUGGAUUAAGCGCCCAACAGCAAGGAAUUCGUGUGAUGUGUCUCCAUGUCUCACAACACAACACCUUCUUAAGGUGGAAACUCUGAUCAAACUUCGAGUGUAAAACUCAUACUGUUGGUAUGCAAUAUAUUGCAUAAAAGACAGGCUUAUGCAGUAGGUCAUAAAAUAUUGGUACCAUAAGGAGCAUGAAUUUUCCGGAUUCUGGGAGAUACGUCAGCAAAUUAAACAUUACUCUGGAAUGGUUUUAGAAGGUACAUGUGUUAGUAGAGUUGCGUUUUAUUUAUCUUUAGAGAAGGAGAGCAUUAUUCAAGUUCAACAAAAGUUGGUAAUAGAUAAUCCAAUUAACUGGACCCAGAAACUGAGCUAGACAUUCGAAAGUUAGGGCAUGCUCUAGGAUAUUUUUUUCAGAACACCAGGGAAAACAAAAGAUUUGAUAUACCCCUACCGUGAAACACUCACUUCUACAUUUGACAUGAUGUACUCUAACUUAUGCUGGAUGGUCAAUGAGGCACUGCAUUGCAGUUAGCAAUGGCAACCAUUCCAAUCCAGCUGCAGUCUGCAUCCAGGUAACACCCUUAACAUCGUGCC